CGGGGGCGGGGGUGCCUAUACAUGCAAGUCGAGCGCGGGAAGCGAGUGGAUCCCUUCGGGGUGAAGCUCGUGGAACGAGCGGCGGACGGGUGAGUAACACGUGGGCAACCUGCCUGUAAGACCGGAAUAACCCCGGGAAACCGGGGCUAAUGCCGGGUAAUACUUUUCUUCGCAUGAAGGAAAGUUGAAAGAUGGCUUCUUGCUAUCACUUACAGAUGGGCCCGCGGCGCAUUAGCUAGUUGGUGAGGUAACGGCUCACCAAGGCGACGAUGCGUAGCCGACCUGAGAGGGUGAUCGGCCACACUGGGACUGAGACACGGCCCAGACUCCUACGGGAGGCAGCAGUAGGGAAUCUUCCGCAAUGGACGAAAGUCUGACGGAGCAACGCCGCGUGAACGAUGAAGGUCUUCGGAUCGUAAAGUUCUGUUGUUAGGGAAGAACAAGUACCGUGCGAAUAGAGCGGUACCUUGACGGUACCUAACGAGGAAGCCCCGGCUAACUACGUGCCAGCAGCCGCGGUAAUACGUAGGGGGCAAGCGUUGUCCGGAAUUAUUGGGCGUAAAGCGCGCGCAGGCGGUUCCUUAAGUCUGAUGUGAAAGCCCACGGCUCAACCGUGGAGGGUCAUUGGAAACUGGGGAACUUGAGGACAGAAGAGGAGAGUGGAAUUCCACGUGUAGCGGUGAAAUGCGUAGAUAUGUGGAGGAACACCAGUGGCGAAGGCGACUCUCUGGUCUGUUUCUGACGCUGAGGUGCGAAAGCGUGGGUAGCAAACAGGAUUAGAUACCCUGGUAGUCCACGCCGUAAACGAUGAGUGCUAGGUGUUAGGGGGCUUCCACCCCUUAGUGCUGAAGUUAACGCAUUAAGCACUCCGCCUGGGGAGUACGGCCGCAAGGCUGAAAC
rnacentral:rRNA from 1 species